AAAGAGAUUAAUUGAGGAUGACUAGCCAAUGAUUAUAAAGGAGGUAUAAAUACCAAAUAUCCUAGCUAAUAAUUUCAAGCUUAGCUAAAUCUAGGAUUAUCCUAUGGGAAACCAAAAAUUUUUAAAUAAAUAAACAACCUUAUGAACUGAAACAUCUAAGUAAUAAGAGGAAAAAAAAUCAACUGAGAUUCUGCUAGUAGUGGUGAGCGAAAACAGAUAAGCCUGCCGGCAUAAAGCUGGCUAUAAUAUAUAAUUUAAUUGUGAAUAAUUAAUUUCUUCCCUGGUAUCAUAUAGGUGCUUUGGGAUUAAUGAAAUUUCUGGAAGUGAAAUAUACCAAAGAGGGUGAUAGUCCCGUAAUAAUUAAAUUAUAAUUUGUUUACCUGUUGCUUUUGCAAUGGGUAAUAAUUACAAAUAAUUAUGCUCUAAGCAUAAUUUAUAUAAAAAAAAGUAAGAUGGAAGAUAAUCUGUCUGAAUAAGGGGAACCAUCCUCUAAGGCUAAAUAUGAAUCAUUGAGCGAUAGUGAAUAGUACCGUGAGGGAAACGUUGAAAAGCAAGUAGAUAACUGGUGAAAUAGAUCCUGAAUCAAUAAUCUUAUAAGCAGUCGGAGUAUGAAAUAAAUAAAAUAGUAUGACGACGUACCUUUUGCAUCAUGGGUCAGCGAGUUUAUAGGUAGUGCAAGUAAAUUUGAUGAAAUAAGAAAUUUUUUAUAAUAAUUAAAUACUUAGUGAAAGCGAUCAUAAAUUAUUUAUUAAUUUAUGAGGAAAGUACUAUAUAUAAGACCCGAAACUAGGCGAUCUUACCAUGGCCAGGUGUAAGACCGAACCAACUACUGUUGCAAUAGUACUGGAUGAGCUGUGGUAGGGAGUGAAAGGCUAAUCUUGCCUAGAGAUAGCUGGUAUUCUGCGAAACCUAUUUAGGUAGGAUCUAUAUUUGAAUUAUAGCAAGUAGUGCUCUGCUUUUAGCAAUCCAUUUGUCAUUAUGACAAAUGGGAUUGUAUUGAAAAAUACAAUUUAUAUUAAAUGGGGGGAUUAUUAUGAUUCUAUCCACUGAAGGCAAUCAAACCAAUGGUUAUAAAUUCAAGAUAUAGGGUCAGACUAUGGGUGCUAAGGCCGAUAGUCGAAUGGGGAAGAGCCCAGAAUAGUAACUAAGGUCCCUAAAUAAAUACUAAGUGAAUAUAAGGUAGUGUCGUAUAGAAAACAUCCAUUAUGUAGGCUUGGAGGCAGCAAUCAUUUAGAGAAAGCGUAAAUGCUCAAUGGUCUUUUUAAUAUAUGAUGCACCAAUAAUUUAACGGGUCUAAAGUAUUUUACCGAUGUUCUAUCUGCAAAAUAAUAUUAAUAAUAUAUCUAUCUGGUAAACAGAGUAGAUGAUUUCUAAUGAAAUAUUAUAAAAAUUUGCUGGGUAGCAGAACAUACUAUAAAUGGAAUGAAGGGUAUUUUUUAAUUACCUUGACAUAAUAGUAGAGAUUAUGCUGACAUGAGUAACGCAAAAGCAUUAAAAUAUGCUUCACCGAAUGCCUAAGGGUUCCAUAGAAAAAUUAAAUUGCUAUGGGUUAAACGGUCUCUAAGAAUAUAAGCGAAAGCUUUGAUUGAUGAGGAAUUUAUUAUAAAUAUAUUUAAUAAAAAAUAAAUUUAUUAAAACUAAUUGAUUUAUUUUUUUUAUUUAUACAGGAAAAAAUAAUAUAAAAUAUACCGUACUCUAAACCGACACUGGUAGGCAGGUAGAAUAUACUAAGGUGUUGAGAGAACUCUCCUGAAGGAACUAGGCAAAAUAACUCUGUAAUUUCGAAAGAAAGAGUGGCUAUUAAAUUAUAUUUAAUAGCUGGCACAUAAAUGUGAGGUACGACUGUUUACUAAAAACACAGCACUUUGCUAACAUAAAAAUGGAUGUAUAAAGUGUGAUACCUGCUCAAUGCCAAACGUAUAAAAUUUUUGGUUUUACGAUCAAAAAUUAAACAUUGGUCAAUAGCGGCUGUAACUAUGACAGUCCUAAGGUAGCGAAAUACCUAGUCGGAUAAUUGCCGACGUGCAUGAAUGGUUUAACGAUACUUCAACUGUCUCCAGGAGAGACUCAGUGAAAUUGAAUUAACCGUGAUGAUGCGGUUUACCUACAGCUAGACACGAAGACCCUAUGAAGCUUUACUGUAGUUAAUUAUUGUUAAUUUUUUAUUAAGAUACAGCAAUAAGGUAGUUGAUUAAACAAAACUGAGAGCCCUUAACUUAAUAUAAAAUUAACUAAGAUAGUAUUUAAUCUUUAUAUAACUUUUCCUUGUGCCGUUAGGUAAAGAUCUUAAAAAUCUUUGAUUUUUAGGUUCUUAUAAGUAGAAAUAUAUAAAGUUUAUUGAAUAUUCUUCCUUGAUAAAAUCAAGGACCUGGAAAAUUUUAUAAAUAAUAUUAUUUAUAAAGGUUCCCCAAAGGGAAAAUGAUUAAUUGGCAGUUUACCUGGGGCGGGAUUCUCAUAAAUAGUAUCUGAGAAGUACAAAGGUUUGUUUAAAUUGGAUGGAAACCAAUGGGUUUAUGAUAACCUAAUAAAGCGUAAUGGUAUAAACAAGCUUAACUGUAAGACAAAAAAGUCGAACAGACGCGUAAGCGGGUCAUAGUGAUCCGAUAGUUUCAUUAUGGAAUGGCUAUCGCACAACUGAUAAAAGUUACUCUAGGGAUAACAGGCUAGUCACUGACGAGAGUCCAUAUUGACUCAGUGGUCCGGCACCUCGAUGUCGACUCAUCUUUUCCUGGGGGUUGUAGUUGCUCCCAAGGGUUCGACUGUUCGUCGAGUAAAAAGGUACGUGAGUUGGGUUUAAUACGAUGUGAAUCAGUAUUGAUUAUAUCUACUGUAGGAAUUAGAAUAAGAAUGGCAGUUUAUCUUAGUACGCAAGGACCAGAUUAAGUGCACCUAUGGUUUACCAGUUGUAUAACAUUUGAAUAAAUGAAUGCAUGGCUGGAAAGCUAUGUGCAUAAAUGAUAACUACUGAAAGCAUAUAAGUAGGAAACAGAGCUAUGAAUUAUUCUUUUCCUUUCAUCUUUUGGAUGUAAAGGAAGUAAAAUUAGCAAUAGACUAUUGCUUUGAUAGGCUACCUAAUUAUCUUUAAAAAGAUAAGGGAUAAUUAAUUAAAAAUUAAUUAAGAGGU
rnacentral:rRNA from 1 species